AGAUUUCUGUCUAAUCCAUAUAUCAUAUUUGUUUCCUUCACCCCAAAAACAGAGAACCGGAGCUGGAGCUGAACGCAAAUCAAAUCAGAACCGGAGCUGAACGCAAGAGAUCUUUGCCUCAAGUAUGGCCUUGAAGACGACAGUGCCGGUGAAUGCAACCUCUGCCCUAACUCGGAAAAAGUAAGCGUCAAAAUAUUUUGAACUUUUAAUUCGACAUCUGAAAGAUUGACAUUAGACAGGUUUCUUUCGAAAUUUCUCAUUCCUGAUUUUUGUUAAACUGGUGAGAUGUUUUUCAGUUGAUCACCUUUAGGUAUGGAUACAGGAACAUGAUGGAGAAGAGAAGGCAUAAGGUCUCUUUUCAAUGAAAGCUAACAUGUAUAAUUUGUUACCUUAUGAGCACAUGUAUCUUAGUUUCUCUGGUACAUAUUUUACUCUGUUCAACUUCCAUUAUGGUUUCAAACUUCAACUGAGUGUACUAUAACUCAAAUCCGUUUUAAGUUAUCUACAGUUUAGGUACAUCGACGAUUUGUUUCCAGGCCUAUAUGUUGGUGAACUCGGACCUAAAGGCACUGAGAUAGUACAACUUCAUCGCAAGUAUGGACACUAGAGUGAUUCAGCUGAAAUUAGCUCCUCAGAUAUUGAUUUCUUGGAAUAUACAAAGGUUGUGAAGUUACAUGGGAUCAAAAUGUGUCGGCUGGCCAGUUGAAAUUUUGUGCAAGGGAAGUUGUGUGAGGGAUCAUGGAUUGUACCCAGAGGAAAUGGGAGUGGUAGUGACACUUUACUCAUCUCUUGAAUUUUGGUGUUAUGAGAACUACAAUUACUGACCUAAAACACAGACAGCUUGUUAGUUCCAUGGGAAAAGGAAGAAUCACAGACUUUGGGUUUAAAACCCAAGAUGGGUGGGAGGACAGCUAUUAAAACUCAGUAGAAAGGUGAUACAAUAGAGCCAACCUGUCUGUUAUUUGUCUUGCGGUUAAUUGUUUUGUUUUUGCUGAACCGGAUUUAAACGCAUGUGUUGGAGACAAGAACUUCAUGAGGCUUUCGUUGAAGCUGUUAAUCAGCUUGGCGGUAGUGAACGUGCGUAAGCUUUCCUCUUCUCUUCGUUCCUCUAAGUAAUAUCUUAAGGCUAUUAACUGUAAAAAGUGGCGCUUACCAUUCUCUUAGAUUUUUCCUUUCCACCAUCGGAGCCACUCCUAAGGCUGCUAUGAAUCUCUUCAAUAACCCUGGCUUCACCACUUUGCCAAUAACCCUGCCUGUUUAUUUAUUUUUUCCCUGAAUUGCAUGUUGUUUCUCUGCUACAGGUAGCUCCUUUUCUUAUUUUCUACCGUUUUUAUAUUUUCUUACUAACAAAAAUACAGAAAGGAAAAGUAUAAAAGCAGGAGAGUUCGAAAGCUACCGGCAUUCUUUCACAGAAUACCUAUGUGCUUUUCUGAGCUACAAACCACGACAACCUCUAGAGAAGAAGAUGACACUUAUCGAAAAAAUCAAAUACUUGGAGCAUUGCGAUCGCAGAAUUUAAGGUUGCAAAUUGAAGUUCAGAAACGCCUCCAUUUGCAGCUCGAGGUAAUGAUUUCACCUGCAUAGUUGCUAAAAAACUAUCCUUAAAGAUAAAGGGAUGAGUACUACAUAUCAUGCCUAUUGUCUGAUGUUGUUUAGUUUGUCUCAUAUGAUACAGAGAUUUUCGAUGCAGACAUAUAUAAUACUUAAGGAAAAGGUUGUAUGUGGUCUGAUUAUUAAGAUAUACUUGUAACUGUAUAAGCAAGGGAUUGGCAAAGGCCCAGUUCAUGGAUUGUUGUUACCUGUUAUACCAA